AUGGCUUGGCAUUAUGAGAAGAAUGGCAUCUUCUCGGUCAAGAGUGCAUAUAGACUUGCGGCCUCAAUUAGUGAGCAAGCGUCGCAUACCACAUCGAGCUCUACGAGAGAUCCAAAUGAUCGCAGCAUCUGGGAUCUUAUUUGGAAAUCAAAAGUCCCAGGAAAGAUCCGUAUCUUUGCUUGGAGAGUUGCAACGAAUACCCUGGCCACCAAAAAUAACAAAUGGAAGAGAACGCUGGAAGUGGAUGCCACAUGCAACAUAUGUGGCAAUGCUGUCGAAGACGAACACCACACGGUUAUUGCAUGCACUAAAAGCAGGGCCCUGAGAGCAGCUAUGAGAGAUGUUUGGAGAUUACCGGCUGAGCACAAGCUGAGAUUCAUCGGUGAUGAUUGGCUACAAGUUGCCCUGCACACGGAGAACGAAGAGAUGUGGGCCAAACUGUUGUUACUCCUGUGGCGAUGCUGGUACCUCAGAGAAGACAGCCUACGGAAUAAUGGGAGAGAAUCGAUUGGGGCUUCAGUGCAGUUUUUAAAGCAGUACGAGGAAGAUCUGAACAGUGCAGAGAUGUUUAAUGAUAGACAGAAAGGAUGCACGGAUUUGGAGGAAGGAGUGAGAAAGAACCGGCUGCCUCCCAUCACCCAGGAGGACAAGUGGAGAGCGCCGGUUAGUGGAACUGCUAAAAUCAACUCCGACGCGGCUUUCUGUGCAGAUAAAGGGGAGAGUGCGGCGGGGGUGGUGGCCCGGGACCACAGAGGCCUGGUUUUUCUGUCAGUCUGUAAAAGGCUCCCGCUCUGCACCAGUGUGGAGGAAGCCGAGGCGCGUGCCGCCCUUGUCGGCAUUCAGACAAUGAGCAAAUACUUUAAGCGAGGUGGUGCUUGA
rnacentral:rRNA from 1 species